AUACGUAGGGUGCGAGCGUUGUCCGGAGUUACUGGGCGUAAAGAGCUUGUAGGCGGUUUGUCGCGUCGAUCGUGAAAACUCGCAGCUCAACUGUGGGCGUGCGGUCGAUACGGGCAGACUUGAGUACUGCAGGGGAGACUGGAAUUCCUGGUGUAGCGGUGAAAUGCGCAGAUAUCAGGAGGAACACCGGUGGCGAAGGCGGGUCUCUGGGCAGUAACUGACGCUGAGAAGCGAAAGCGUGGGUAGCGAUCCGGA
rnacentral:rRNA from 1 species